UAGCAUUAAUAGUAUUAGAGGCACUGCCUGCCCAGUGACAUUAGUUAAACGGCCGCGGUAUCCUGACCGUGCAAAGGUAGCAUAAUCAUUUGUUCCUUAAUUAGGGACUUGUAUGAAUGGCUUGACGAGGGUUUAACUGUCUCUUACUUUCAAUCAGUGAAAUUGACCUUCCCGUGAAGAGGCGGGAAUAAAUUAAUAAGACGAGAAGACCCUAUGGAGCUUAAAUUAAACUAUUCAAUUUAUAUAAAUUUUUACCUACGGGAUCAAUUCCACAAAAUCUGAAUAAUAAAUUUUGGUUGGGGUGACCUCGGAGUACAAAACAACCUCCGAGAUAUACAGCUAAGACUUACCCGUCAAAGCACCUUUUAUUAUUGAUCCAAUUACAUUGAUCAACGGAUCAAGUUACCCUAGGGAUAACAGCGCAAUCCUAUUUAAGAGUUCAUAUCGACAAUAGGGUUUACGACCUCGAUGUUGGAUCAGGACACCCAAAUGGUGCAGCAGCUAUUAAAGGUUCGUUUGUUCAACG
rnacentral:rRNA from 1 species